GUAGUAUCACGUCAAUCGACUGAGAACAGAAGAGCACGUAAACGCUGUCACACAUGUCAACAUAACAACAACAAAACUACAACCACGUAAUACAAGUGCUCGAUAAUCACAGCAACAAAAACUAGCUAGCGAAAGCAACAAGCAUAUUGUAGAAUCGGCACCAAAGAAGGGAAGUGGCAACAAGUUACAAGAUAACUUGCUGAACUACAAAGGAUAACUGAGAAGCAGUUGGAGGUGGCAGAGUUGUGACCGUAGCGAUAGUCGAAGACGGAGCCUUCGCCUACAUAAUACACGUAAAGAAGAACGCAGCUGCAUUUUACGAAAGCGAUAAAAGAAGAGAUGGUAAAGUUGAAACAGAAGCACAUAGGGAAACGGCAAAAGCGGCGAAUAUAACGAUUGAAUGCAACAUGCAGGCAACGGCGAGUAGCCAGCAGCAGCAACACAGAUGAACCAAUAAUAAGUUAUGCUGCCCACAGCGAGAGCACUUUUUUGUGAGAC